GUCCCGCCAGGCGAAGGAUGACUUCUUGCGGCACUACACAGUGUCGGACCCCAGGACGCACCCCAAGGGCUACACCGAAUACAAAGUAACCGCGCAGUUCAUCUCAAAGAAGGACCCAGAGGAUGUCAAAGAGGUGGUGGUCUGGAAGCGGUACAGCGACUUCCGCAAGCUGCAUGGAGACCUGGCCUACACCCACCGCAACCUCUUCCGCCGCCUGGAGGAGUUCCCUGCUUUCCCCCGGGCCCAGGUGUUUGGCCGGUUCGAAGCCUCAGUGAUCGAGGAGCGGCGAAAGGGGGCAGAGGACCUGCUUCGCUUCACUGUGCACAUACCUGCGCUCAACAACAGCCCCCAGCUCAAGGAGUUCUUCCGGGGUGGGGAGGUGACCCGACCCUUGGAGGUGUCCAGGGACCUGCACAUCCUGCCACCCCUCUGAUCCCCACCCCGCCCCCUGAUGACCCCCGGCUACCCCAGCUGCUCCCUGCAGAAAGGAGGGGCCUUGAGGAAUUGGAGGUGCCAGUGGACCCCCCACCAUCCAGCCCUGCCCAGGAGGCCCUGGAUCUCCUCUUUAACUGUGAGAGCACCGAGGAGGCGUCCAGUUCCCCUGCCCGAGGGCCCCUCACCGAGGCUGAGCUUGCCCUCUUCGACCCCUUCUCCAAGGAAGGUAAUGAGCUGGGACAGCCGGGAAGGAGCCAGGGCAGGACGUCCUUGGGACAGGGAGGAGGGCAGAGCCCCACUAGCCUGCUCAGUGCCUGCGCAGAUCGGGGAAAGACGUCCCCUCAGCAGUGCUGCCCUGUGGGCCAAUAGCAGCUUCAAUGAGAAUUAGAAGCUUGGUGCCAGGGCACGUGGUGUGGUGUGCUGGAUGCACCUGUGCAACAAGUAGCCACGGGGAAGGAAAGGACGCACUUCCCACGUUGGGGCCAUCUCACUGAGAAGGCUUUGGAAAGAGCCGGGUCACACUGCUCUGGGACAUUUUAGUUGCUUCCCUGCAAGUACGUGGUGGGAUUUCCUGACUGGCCAGGGUCUGGCUGCAGAUCCUGAAGGCAAGAGGCCUGCUGGUCAAUGGGAGUGAGUUCUCAGCUCAAAGAGCAGCUGCGAAGGGAAAUCCCUCUGGGGGCUUGGAGCCACUGGCAUUUGAGGAUGCUGGAGGUAGAAGGGCCCGCCCCCGAUGGAGGUCAGGGUCCUGAGCACCUUCUUGCUGUGAGAUCCUGGGACUCAACAGUCCCAAGCUCUGAGACAUUGGAGUUUUUCAUUCUAAAAUUUGCCAACGCCUGGCACAUUGGCUCACACCUGUAAUCUCAACACUUUGGGAGGCUGAGGCAGGAAGAUUGCUUGAGCCCAGGAAUUCAAGACCAGCCUGGGCUCUCUAUAUCGAGAGCCCAUGUCUGUUAUUCUUUUUCUUUUUUUGAGACGGAGUCUCACUCUGUCGCCCAGUCUGGAGUACAGUGGUGCAAUCUUUGCUCACUGCAACCUCCCGGGUUCAAGCGAUUCUCCUGCCUCAGCCUCCCGAGUAGCUGGGACUACAGGUGUGCACCACAGUGCCUGGCUAAUUUUGUAUUUUUAGUUGAGAUGGGAUUUCUCCAUGUUGGUCAGGCUGGUCUCAAACUCCCGACCUCAGGUAAUGUGCCCGCCUCAGCCUCUGAAAGUGCUGGGAUUCCGGAUGUGAGCCACCGCGCUCGGCCCUUUUUUUUUUUGUGAGAUCGAGUCUUGCUCUGUUGCCCAGGCUGGAGUGCAGUGGCAUGAUCUUGGCUCACUCCCACCUCCACCUCCUGGAUUCAAGCGGUUCUUCUGCCUCAGCCUCCCAAGUAGCUGGGACUACAGGCGCGCACCACCAUGCCUGGCUAAUUUUUGUAGUUUGAGUAGAGACAGGGUCUCACCAUUUUGGUCAGGCUGGUCUCAAACUCCUGACCUUCAAGUGAUCCACCCGCCUCGGCUUCCCAGAGUGCUGAGAUUACAGGCGUGAGCCAAAGUGCCCUGCCUCUUUCACUUUUCUUGUUCUGCUUCCUCCCGUUCCUGCUCCUGCCUCUCCAGCAUUGGGGAGUGGGAAGAAGGAAUGGGAGGGAAAGGCAGUGUUGGUGUCACAGGGCUUAUGCCUGGCCUGUGGGUGGCAGGCAUCCAAGUGCUCUGUCCUUGUGCCAGCUGAGUCCCUGCUGGGCAGCUAGCUGCCUGGGCAGGAGCUUUUCUAUUUUCUCUUUUUUUCCUUUCCUUUUUUUUUUUUUUUUUUUUGAGAUAGAGUCUGGCUGUGUCACCAGGCUAGAGGGCAGUGGUGCGAUCACGGCUCACUGCAGCCUCCACCUCCUAGGCUCAAGCGAUCCUCCCACCUCAGCCUCCCAAAUAGCUGGGACAGGACCACAGGCAUGCACCAUCACGCCCAGCUAAGUUUUUGAUAUUUUUUGUAGAGAUGAGAUCUCACUAUGUUGCCCAGGCUGGUCUCAAGCUCCUGGACUCAAGUAGUCCUCCCACCUCGGCCUCCUGAAGCGCUAGAUUAUAGGCAUGAGCAACUGUGUCCAGCCAGGAUCUUUUCAAGACCCUUCAUAGACAGCUCCAGUGAGACCUUCACUCAGCCUAUGGGAAAAGUCCCCAAAGCCUGGAACUGCAUUGUGCUCAGACACUGCCUUAUUUCCCUGCCCUGCCGUGGUGGGCACCUCCAACGAGCCUCUCACCACCAGAAUUCUUGAGGCAAGGAGCGGGCACCUGUGUCUGCCUUCUUCACAGCAAACUCCUGAACUCGAGUGUGCAGGUGUCCCAGGCACUCUUCUGCUCUCUGCUCCCUGAGCAAUACACAGAGGGCUGUAGGCCCAGCCAGGAGGUGCCUUCUCCCUCCUACAGGAGGCCCGGACUUCUCAGGGCUCUCAUGGAACUCACAGGGAUGGGGUUAGAGAGGCGCCCACUUUUUCCCUCUCCAGGAUGAUAGGGUAUCAUGAUGCUCCCUGCCCCCGCACCUUCCCCUCAGAGGCCUUUUCACCAAAGGUGCGCCAGAUCUCCAUCUGCCUCGUGUGUAAGCUGCAGGGAGGAUGUCCGACCCCCUUUUAGCCAGUCCAGGGGGAUAUAAUGAGCCUUUCCCUGGGAAAUGUGAGGACACCUGUCACUCACUGUCUUUACAUUUGGGGGCCUCAGCUGAAACUGCAAGGCUUCAGGAAACCCCUGAGAUUCUCUGAGUCUCCUAUUCUAAGAUUAUCCCAAGUCUUGGAGCGUAUCUACCCUCAGCCUGGUGGUGGCCUAGCAUCCUUCAGGGGAACUUUCUGGAGGGGAUUUGUGGAUUUCUAGGUCAACUGUAGUCAAGAGGGAAAUAGGACCAGUGACCCAGCGCUUACAAACUAGAGUGUGCACCUAAAGAAAUAAUUAGGAAGGUAAGGCUGUUUUUACAGAAGCACAUGAACCCUGUCAAUCAAAUAGAUCAUGGCUAGUUUUUGAUCCACAGGCGACUUCUGGAUUGCUCUGGCAUUGGUCCCUUCUACUGGGGACAGGCUGAUACCCUGAUGGACAAAAGAGGUCUUGGGGUUGGGCAGAGGGCCUGGGAAAGGAAGGGCCAGUCUGGUCCGAGUCCUCCCUUUCUAAUUGCAGAAGGUGCAGCCCCCAGCCCCACCCAUGUGGCUGAGCUGGCAGCGAUGGAGGUGGAGUCGGCAAGGCUGGACCAGGAACCCUGGGAGCCAGGAGGGCAGGACGAGGAAGAGGACGGGGAAGGAGGGCCCACCCCUGCCUACCUAAGCCAGGCCACAGAACUCAUCACCCAGGCCCUGCGUGAUGAGAAGGCAGGCGCUUACGCUGCCGCGCUCCAGGGCUACCGAGACGGUGUGCACGUCUUGCUUCAGGGAGUCCCCAGUGACCCGUUGCCUGCCCGCCAGGAAGGUGUUAAGAAGAAGGCAGCUGAGUACCUGAAGCGGGCAGAGGAGAUCCUGCGCCUGCACCUUUCUCAACUCCCACCCUAACAGGGAGUGGGCCCUUCCCUGGGACUCUCGCUCCUGCACUGCCAGCCCCUUCUCCUCUCCCCAGGGCCUGGCCCUACCUCCUGGUCUUGUAAUUACAGGGGCCAUUUCUGUAGGUAACUGGACCAAGAAUGAGAAAAAUAAUGAAUUCUCAGCUCCCUGAUUACACCUGCCACCUUGGAAUCAAGGACUCACACUUCUGACCCUGCCUGUCUUUUUUAUUUUUUUUUGAGUUGGAGUCUCGCUGUGUCGCCCAGGCUGGAGUGCAGUGGUGCGAUCGCGGCUCACUGCAACCUCCACCUCCCAGGUUCAAGCAAUUCUCCUGUCUCAGCCUCACCCAGUAGCUGGGAUUGCAGGCACACGCCACCACACCCAGCUAAUAUUUUGUAUUUUUAGUAGGGAAGGGGUUACACCAUGUUGGCCAGGCUGGUCUCGAACUCCUGACCUCAAGUGAUCCACCCGCCUCAGCCUCCCAAAGUGCUGAGAUUACAGGCAUGAGUCACUAUGCCCGGCCCAUGUCUGUCUGUCUUGAUGUGUGAGCAGCAGCUGUGGUCAUUAAACCAUUAGUUUACCCCUCUAGAACUGGGGUCUGCAAACUCCCACGUGCAGCCGAAUCUGGCCCACCUCCUUUUUAAUGUAAGGCCUGUGAGAGUGGUUUUUACAUUUUUUUAAUGAUUAAAAAAAUCAAAAUAAUAUUCUGUGACAAUGACAGGUGAAAUUUAUAUGUGACAAGUGAAAAUUAUAUGUAAUUUAAGAGUCUAUAAAUAAAAUUUGUUGGAACAC
rnacentral:sRNA from 1 species